rnacentral:rRNA from 1 species
CAGUCGCCGCGGGAAUACGGAGGGUGCAAGCGUUAAUCGGAAUUACUGGGCGUAAAGCGCACGCAGGCGGUCUGACAAGUCAGAUGUGAAAUCCCCGGGCUUAACCUGGGAACUGCAUUUGAAACUGUCAGGCUGGAGUCUUGUAGAGGGGGGUAGAAUUCCAGGUGUAGCGGUGAAAUGCGUAGAGAUCUGGAGGAAUACCGGUGGCGAAGGCGGCCCCCUGGACAAAGACUGACGCUCAGGUGCGAAAGCGUGGGGAGCAAACAGGAUUAGAUACCCGGGUAGUCCCUGUCUCUUAUAU